CGGUAGACAAAUUUGACUAACAAUGCAUAGUAGCAAUUUUCUUAAUAACAUGCGUAAUUCUAGUUAUAAUUCUGCAAGUAAGCUAUUUCUAUGUUACCGGCGUUGUUUUGUCAAUUACAACCCACCCCCAACUACCCUAUAUCCGUCAUUGCAAUGUUUCUACAACCGCGAUGAAAACCAGUGAAUGUACUAGGUUUCGAUCUGUUCAUGGUAUGUCCAGCAUUAAUAGAAGUUAAGUUUAUUAUUAAAAGGGAAAAAACAAACAGUAGCGUAGCCAGCCCGACUAUUUGGUCCCGCCAUGCAAAUAUUUUCAUGUUCAUUGACUGUGAAAACAAUCAAUUUCUAAAGAAAUGAAUAAUGAUAAUAAUUUUGAAUUUGCAUAGCGGCACUAAAUUGUCGGGCUGGCUACGCCACUGAAAACAAAACGUGUCCAUUCUCUCUUUAACAGAAAUUUAUUUAAUCUUCAACAGUGAUAUUAUUUUUUUAUUUAUUUAUCCCAAAUACUACAACUAUACCAAUCAUUGUUUAUUCUGUAUGACAUAAAUCAACAUGUUUAACUUCGCCAACGGAAUCCACCGAUAGAUAUCUUAUAUACACUAGAUAGCGUAUCUCCUUUAGUAAAACUGAGGCCAAGAAUAUUCCAGCGGUUACCUCCAUUUGAAUAUAUGGCGGCCAUGUUGGAGUUUCGCACUCGCUAAUAAACGCUUAAAAAGAACAAUAACUUUCAUCGUUUGAAUAAUUUAAAAAUGUAUUUGGAAUAGGUUUAACUUAAUGUUUAAGUUCCCUGUUUAAGAAAUAGAAAACAUACCAAUCUUCUCAUUUCAUGGGAAUACCCUGAGCCUG